rnacentral:rRNA from 1 species
CUCUAAAAAACAANCUCAGUUCAGAUUGCAGGCUGCAACUCGCCUGCAUGAAGUCGGAAUUGCUAGUAAUCGUAGGUCAGCAUACUACGGUGAAUACGUUCCCGGGCCUUGUACACACCGCCCGUCAAACCAUGAGGGUUGGCAACACCCGAAGUCGGUAGUCUAACCGCAAGGAGGACGCCGCCGAAGGUGGGGUUGAUGAUUAGGGUUAAGUCGUAACAAGGUAAC